UACGAGUAGCCCAAGUGUUGUCCACGAAUAUUGAGCCUAAAGCGAGUGUAGCCGGAUGCGCACGUCCUCCGUGAAAUCUUCCCGCCUAACGGGAAGGCUUGCGGGGGAUACGACGCGUCUUGGGAAUGGGGGAGACCCGGGGUACGAUAGGGGAGGAGUAAAAUCCUGUAAUCCUUAUCGGACCACCAGUGGCGAAGGCGCCGGGCCAAAACAUGUCCGACGGUGAGACUCGAAGGCUAGGGGAGCGAAU
rnacentral:rRNA from 1 species